rnacentral:rRNA from 1 species
UACGGAGGGUGCAAGCGUUAAUCGGAAUUACUGGGCGUAAAGCGUGCGUAGGUGGUAUGUUAAGUCAGAUGUGAAAACCCAGGGCUCAACCUUGGAAUUGCAUUUGAAACUGGCAAACUAGAGUUCGGGAGAGGAGAGUGGAAUUUCCGGUGUAGCGGUGAAAUGCGUAGAUAUCGGAAGGAACACCAGUGGCGAAGGCG